rnacentral:ncRNA from 1 species
AAAUAAAUUUAUUAUGGUUUAAAAAAUUUAUUUUAAAUUUAUUUUACAUAUAAAUUUUAGUGUUAAUUAUUAAUUAUUUAAAUAAUAUUUAAUAUUUAUGUAGUAAUUUAUUUUAAAAAUUUAAGGAAUUAAGAUUUAGUAAUAUUAAAAUUAAUAACUAAUUUUGUGCCAGCAGUUGCGGUUAAACAAAAAUUAAUUUAAAUUUUUUUAGUAAUUAAUUAAUAAAAAUUUAUUUUUUAAUUAAAAAUUUAAAUUAUAAGGUGAAAUUUUAAUUUAAUAAAAAAUUAUUUUAUAAUUAUGAUUUAAUAAUUUUUAUAAAAGACUAGGAUUAGAUACCCUAUUAUUAAAAAUUUAAAUUAAUAAUACUUAAAUAGUAGAUAAUUAUUUAUUGAAACUUAAAUAAAUUGGCGGUAUUUUAGUUUAUUUAGAGGAAUCUGUUUAAUAAUUGAUAAUCCACGAAUAAAUUUACUUAAUUUAUUUAUUUUGUAUAUCGUUGUUAAAAAAAUAUUUUUUUAUAAAAAUAAUAUUUAAAAUUUUAUAAUAAAAGUUAAAUCAGAUCAAGAUGCAGAUUAUAAUUAAGAAUAUAAUGGAUUACAAUAAAUUUAUUUAAUUGGAUUUUAAUAUGAAAAGAUUAAAUAAAAUUGGAUUUAAAUGUAAUUAUGUUUAAAUUAAUAUAAUGAUUAAAUAUUAAAAUAUGUACAUAUUGCCCGUCGCUUUCAUUUAUAAAUUGAAAUAAGUCGUAACAAAGUAGAGGUACUGGAAAGUGUUUCUAGAAAGAU